UGCUUGAGAUGGAAAAAUUAUCGCUAGAAACUAAGGAGGCCACGUGGCGUUGCUAACGAAAUUGACAUGAAAUUGACAACGUCGUCAUAGGUAAAAUUGCGAUAAACAGAUUAUCAUUGGUCAUCUCAACUCGAUUGCUUUUCUCACUUUCGCUGUACCAGCUCAAGCGAGAAAACUAAUCUCGUUGAGAUGAUCAACGAUAAUCUAUAAUUAUAUU
rnacentral:lncRNA from 1 species